AGGAUAUUCAACGCGGAAUCAGAAUCGUGGGAAAACUAUAGGAGAACCAUUAUGUCAUUAAUCAAUCAACAUGGGUUCCAAAAGUUUGUAGCUACGACUAGCCAAAACAAGGUGGAAGAAGGGCUCGUGCCAAUUCUGGAGAAUGCGGCAAAGGUGAGGAAUGAAGUGGAUAUGCAAGAAUUAUUUCAAAAUUUUACCUUUGAUUGAACUUGCAUUUUAAUUUUAGGCCAUGAUCCAGCUUCACUGCACAACGAUUUGCCACAUUUGUCAUAUCAAAAAGCCUUUGUUGAUGCUGAGGAAACAACAUUGUAUAGGCAUAUUCUCCCAAAAACUUACUGGAAGCUUCAAAAAUGGCUCCAAAUUGGCAAAGAGAAGAAGCUUAGUAAACUGAUGGACACCAUCAAUCAAUUUUUUAUGCAUUGCAUCUCUCUAAAGCGCUUGAAAAUUAAUUGUACAGACCAUACCGCUCAACAAGAAAAUGAGGAUUUUGACUUGUUAACAAGUUUCAUGAAAGUAGUUGGAGAAAAGAGUGAUGCACCCGAUAACAUGCCUGAAUAUGUUGUAAAUAUUGGAGGGAUGAAGAAGAAACAAAAAGAAAAUUCACAAAAAGUACUGCAACAAUAGAAACAAAACCAAAAAUUUGUAACAACAAAUGUGAAGGUUUGAACGCGGGAUCGCUGUCCUAAAACAUUAUUUGCUACUUCUCCAGUGUUUAUGAUAUGCUUAAGAGUAUUUCGACAAAUAGUUUGAAUGAUUGUAACAAACCUUGUAAAGAA
rnacentral:lncRNA from 1 species